ensembl:rRNA 5S_rRNA 5S ribosomal RNA
GUCUUUGGCCAUGCUACCCUGAACGUGCCCAUUCUUGUCUGGUCUCAGAACCUAAGCAAGGUCAGGUCUCCUUAGUAUUUGGAUGGGAGACCGCCUAGAAAUACCGGCACUGUAGGCU